AAUCGAUGGGCAAGGCCCGCGCCCAGGCCAACUGCCUCCACUGGCAGUAGGGGCUCCAGCGCGAGCCCUUGUUUGACACAAAGCCCAGCCAUGGGAUGGGAGUGGGAACGGCGUGGAUGGACGCUAGGCCUUAUCUCAAUCACGAACACUGACAGCCCAAAUGUAAGACGUGGGAUGUCUCGCUAACUCGCCGGGCACAGCACGGGGAGAGAACAGACCGCACUCUCUCGGGCCAGACCGAUGUCAAUGUGAACCAAGCUAACCCAGCAAGAGAGGGGCGUGUGGAGACGCCUUGGGUCUGUCUGCUUUUCUCAGCUUGUUUCCCACCCUCUCUACAUCCUGCUGAUUGUCCGCGCUUGGUCUGUUUACCCUAUUUUGGUAAAGCCGGAUUAUCAUCACUGCUGAGAUGCUCCUUUAUUUCAGUUCCGAUACAAAGGGGAGAGGCUGACAAAGUAUAACACAGUGCUUUAUCACUAGAAUUUCUGUGGUGUACUGAUCGAAAGUGCUCUAUUUAAUAAAGAGAGCUUGCUGGGUGUAUGC
rnacentral:lncRNA from 1 species